ACAUUUCCAAAGACAACAUCGUCAUCGUCAGAAUCGAUAUUUUCAUGAUUUUUCGCGGCCUCUUUUUCACGCUCGGCUCGCUCCCUGAAAAUAUGAAAUAACGGUUACAUAUCUCUGGUUACAUAUGUUGGUCAAACAUAUAUACAUUCUUUCGAGGCAUAGACCGUUUCGUAACGGGUAACAUUUUGGACAUAUGCAGGACAACAUUUAACCUGUUUUAAUUGGUAUAGUGGACACGUAAAAAUCUCACGACUUCUCAACAAGAUGUGUUCGCAACAGGCUUGUAGCGGAGCUUGUCAACAAGUCGUAACAAUGCUGUUAUUCUAUCAAGUUGCUACAAGGUUGUCACCCACGACUUGUUGACAAAUUGUUGAAUUACAGGACGAUAACAAGUUGUUGGAACAACUUGGAACAACUCUGUUGAGCUCAACAACCUUGUAGCAAGUUGUCGACAAGCUGGGAACAAGCGGUGCGAACACAUCCUGAUGGCAAGUUGUUGGAACAGCAUUGCUACAAGUCUGCUUCAGGUUUGUUAUAACUCUCACAGGUUUGGAAACUAUACACGUAAAAAUCUCACAUCUUGUAACAAGUCUGCCAACAAGCCGUCAACAAGAUGUAUUCGCACCGCUUGUCACAAGUUGUCAACAGGUUUGGAACAACUUGUUGACAACUUGUAACAACCUUGUCGAAAUUAUCAGACUUGUUGCAAGGUUGUUCUGACAAGUCCGUUACAUGCUUG